rnacentral:rRNA from 1 species
AUUGAACGCUGGCGGCAGGCCUAACACAUGCAAGUCGAGCGGAUGAAGGGAGCUUGCUCCUGGAUUCAGCGGCGGACGGGUGAGUAAUGCCUAGGAAUCUGCCUGGUAGUGGGGGAUAACGUCCGGAAACGGGCGCUAAUACCGCAUACGUCCUGAGGGAGAAAGUGGGGGAUCUUCGGACCUCACGCUAUCAGAUGAGCCUAGGUCGGAUUAGCUAGUUGGUGGGGUAAAGGCCUACCAAGGCGACGAUCCGUAACUGGUCUGAGAGGAUGAUCAGUCACACUGGAACUGAGACACGGUCCAGACUCCUACGGGAGGCAGCAGUGGGGAAUAUUGGACAAUGGGCGAAAGCCUGAUCCAGCCAUGCCGCGUGUGUGAAGAAGGUCUUCGGAUUGUAAAGCACUUUAAGUUAGGAGGAAGGGCAGUAAGCUAAUACCUUGCUGUUUUGACGUUACCAACAGAAUAAGCACCGGCUAACUUCGUG